UGUCAAAAAGUUUAUCCAUUUUUAUUUUUAAAAAUCGGUAUGACUAACAAAAUAAUCACAUAGUAAUAUAUGACAUGGCACGUGUACCUUAUGUUGAUGUAUAGUGACCAAUUUUUAAUGGUAGAAAUUGAUGGAAAUUUUAUUG
rfam:Gossypium raimondii Chr12_contig_846, whole genome shotgun sequence.